UAAAAGACGAUGAAAAGAAUGAGUAGGUAUGUAAUAAAUAUAAAGAGAGGAAGUGGUUGGUGCAAACUUCUUAUUUAUCAUAUUGAAGCUAUCUUGGAGUCUUUAUGCUUUAAGUGAUGUGCAAUUUAGUACAUAAUUAGGGUGGUACCGCGGAAUUCAAGUUUUCGUCCCUUGU
rnacentral:ncRNA from 1 species